GUGUCAGCAGCCGCGGUAAUACGGAGGGUGCAAGCGUUAUCCGGAUUCACUGGGUUUAAAGGGUGCGUAGGCGGGCUUGUAAGUCCGUGGUGAAAUCUCUGAGCUUAACUCGGAAACUGCCAUGGAUACUAUGGGUCUUGAAUACUCGGGAGGUGAGCGGAAUAUGUCAUGUAGCGGUGAAAUGCUUAGAUAUGACAUAGAACACCAAUUGCGAAGGCAGCUUGCUACAGAGUUAUUGACGCUGAGGCACGAAAGCGUGGGGAUCAAACAGGAUUAGAUACCCUGGUAGUCCACGCCCUAAACUAUGGAUACUCGACGUUGGCGAUAUGACUGUCAGCGUCUGAGCGAAAGCAUUAAGUAUCCCACCUGGGAAGUACGACCGCAAGGUUGAA
rnacentral:rRNA from 1 species